rnacentral:rRNA from 1 species
AGUGAACGCUGGCGGUAGGCCUAACACAUGCAAGUCGAACGGCAGCACAGUAAGAGCUUGCUCUUACGGGUGGCGAGUGGCGGACGGGUGAGGAAUACAUCGGAAUCUACUUUUUCGUGGGGGAUAACGUAGGGAAACUUACGCUAAUACCGCAUACGACCUACGGGUGAAAGCAGGGGAUCUUCGGACCUUGCGCGAUUGAAUGAGCCGAUGUCGGAUUAGCUAGUUGGCGGGGUAAAGGCCCACCAAGGCGACGAUCCGUAGCUGGUCUGAGAGGAUGAUCGGCCAACCUGAAAUUGGGACACGGUCCAAACCCCUACGGGGGGCAGGAGGGGGGAAUAUGGGAAAAUGGGCGCAAGCCUGACCCAGCCAUACCGGUGGGGUAAAGAAGGCCUUCGGGUUGUAAACCCCUUUUGUUGGGAAAGAAAAGCAGCAGGUUAAUACCCCGCUGUUCUGACGGUACCCAAAGAAUAAGCACCGGCUAACUUCGU